CCCUUAGAUGUUCUGGGCCGCACGCGCGCUACACUGUUCGACGCAGCGAGUCUUAACCUUGACCGAAAGGUUUGGGUAAUCUUCAGCAAAGUCGAACGUGAUGGGGAUCGAUCAUUGCAAUUAUUGAUCGUGAACGAGGAAUUCCUAGUAAGUGCAAGUCAUCAGCUUGCGCUGAUUACGUCCCUGCCCUUUGUACACACCGCCCGUCGCUACUACCGAUUGAAUGGUUUAGUGAGAUCUCUGGAUUGACGCUGGCUAGGGGGCGACCCUUGGCCAGACUGCUCGAGAAACUGCUCAAACUUGAUCAUUUAGAGGAAGUAAAAGUCGUAAC
rnacentral:rRNA from 1 species